CCUACGGGAGGCUGCAGUGAGGAAUAUUGGUCAAUGGGCGUAAGCCUGAACCAGCCAAGUCGCGUGAGGGAUGAAGGUUCUAUGGAUCGUAAACCUCUUUUAUAAGGGAAUAAAGUGUGGGACGUGUCCUAUUUUGUAUGUACCUUAUGAAUAAGGAUCGGCUAACUCCGUGCCAGCAGCCGCGGUAAUACGGAGGAUCCGAGCGUUAUCCGGAUUUAUUGGGUUUAAAGGGUGCGUAGGUGGCCUUUUAAGUCAGCUGUGAAAGUGUGUGGCUCAACCAUAGAAUUGCCGUUGAAACUGGGAGGCUUGAGUACAGUUGAGGCAGGCGGAAUGCGUGGUGUAGCGGUGAAAUGCUUAGAUAUCACGAAGAACCCCGAUUGCGAAGGCAGCCUGCCAAGCCAUGACUGACGCUGAUGCACGAAAGCGUGGGGAUCAAACAGGAUUAGAUACCCGAGUAGUC
rnacentral:rRNA from 1 species